CUACGCUCCUACGGGAGGCAGCAGUGGGGAAUAUUGCACAAUGGGCGCAAGCCUGAUGCAGCCAUGCCGCGUGUAUGAAGAAGGCCUUCGGGUUGUAAAGUACUUUCAGCAGUGAGGAAGGUGGGUAUGUUAAUAGCAUACUCAUUUGACGUUAGCUGCAGAAGAAGCACCGGCUAACUCCGUGCCAGCAGCCGCGGUAAUACGGAGGGUGCGAGCGUUAAUCGGAAUUACUGGGCGUAAAGCGCAUGCAGGUGGUUUGUUAAGUCAGAUGUGAAAGCCCGGGGCUCAACCUCGGAAUUGCAUUUGAAACUGGCAAACUAGAGUACUGUAGAGGGGGUAGAAUUUCAGGUGUAGCGGUGAAAUGCGUAGAGAUCUGAAGGAAUACCGGUGGCGAAGGCGGCCCCCUGGACAGAUACUGACACUCAGAUGCGAAAGCGUGGGGAGCAAACAGGAUUAGAUACCCUGGUAG
rnacentral:rRNA from 1 species